rnacentral:lncRNA from 1 species
UUUUUUUUUUUUUUUUUUAAUCUUGAGAACCAGUCAACAAGAGUUGGAUCAGGUUACCAGGAACAUCUAUAUAAACCCAACUAAAGCAUCCCAAAUUCAUAUCAUCCAUCUGCCUACUAGUUUCAUUUGAUUCGAUUACAAACAAUAGAGAUGGCCGUCAGCUUUGGCAAAGGAUUGCUUGUCCUCCUCCUAACCUUAGUAGCCACCUUGGCAAUUAGCCAAGCUGAAACAGUUGUUGUUGGAGGGUCUCAGGGAUGGCGCUACGGCUACAAUUACAAUAAUUGGGCAAAGGAUCACGGUGCCUUUUUCCUCGGCGACACACUAGGUUAGCCUUGUAUUUAUUGUCCGAAAUUUUUAUAGCUACAAAGGCUGGACUGGCGUCUCAGUUGAAUUAGAAAAUCUGAUUCGAUUCAAUUUUGAUAUAUACUUGUUUUUUCAUUCUAGCAUAGGCAAGAUAAAUUGGAUAUACUUUUGAUUGGAUAUUCCAAAUCUACUAACAAACUGGUUAAUAUUAUUAAUCUGCUGGAAACCUUUUCUAAGGCUUGUUCUCGGUUGAUUAUCUUACUUUGAUUAUAUAUUCUAAGUUUUAAUAAUCAAUUUUUAAUGCUUUUGUUUGCUUUUACGUCUAAACUUUAGAUUUUUUCAAUGGCUAAAAAAGUUAAAACACAGAAUCUACCAAAGAGCAGCUUUAACUAAUUUUGAUUAUUAGAAAAAUUUAUGAGUAUUAGCGUUGGUUUGGUCUAACCUUAGUUGUUUUGCUGGUGAAUCAGUGUUCAAGUAUCGUCCUCCUAGCAAAAUCUCGAGGCCUCACAGCGUGUACCUGCUGCCAAACCUGUACAGCUUCUUGACAUGCGAUUUUAGGGGCGCAACCCGGUUGGCAGGUCUGAAUCAAGGAAGUGGAAAUGGCUUCUCCUACGUGCUAAAUCAGGUCAGACCUAACUACUUUGCUAGCGGAGAGGGCGACGACUGCGAGAAAGGAUUGAUGAAAUUCGUUGCCAUACCUCUGUAUCGUCUUCCAUUUCCCUGAUGUGUUUCGCCAAAGCCACAAUCGAUCUGCAACAUGCUUCUGAAAAAUGAGAUUGGAUACGCUUCAUUUUUUGGUUUUUCGUGUGAUAUGUAUUGUAAUAAACUGGAAACAGUAACAAAUAAAUGCUUGUGAUUUUUCUUGUACGUAAGGCUGUUACAUGCACUUGUACGUAAGCCUGUUGCAUAAUAAUUAUGGCUUCCUUUUGGGCACCAAUGAUUCUCUCUAUCUCUCACUCGGUUUCUUUCUCUCUUGUAAUCAAUUAGAAGACCUAGUCAAAUUGUGAGAAGCUCUUCUAUCAAAUAGUGAAUCCGACAUACAAAACAAAUGUAAUCUCCACUUGCCUAAAUUGUUCAUUUAAAGUUCCUUCCAAAAUUGUGAAAUAUACAUUAAGGAAUGCUAUACAAUUUCACAGAAAAUCUAUAUUAAAUUAAAGGAUACUGGUGUAUGGAUGUCAGUAUGUCCCUAUCGUGUAAUUGUAUCAAAUUUUGAGACUUUGCCAUCACAGCCAAGUAGAUCAGUUUUUUACUCCAAUAACAAAAGAGAGAUUUAUGAAAUUUUUUUAAGAUUUCUUUUUAUUUUUCUAUUAAAACACCCCUUUUAUUAGCAAUUAGCAAUAAGGUCGUUACAAUGAGCAAGAACUCAAAAACAGAGGCGAGAAACUGCCAAUCAAGCUGCCAAUGAAUACAAAAACGCUAAAAACAAAGGCAGUGUUAGAUACAACGAAUAAAAUCCUCUUAUCUGUUAUUAGUUUCCGCAUUUCUAGUUAUUCAUUAGAAUUACAAAAUCAUUACUGAGAUUCAGAGGAUUUUGUUCACUAAAGAACGUUAAAUAAUGUGCACGUACUUAUGCAUUUGAAAAUAUACAGUACCAUUAUACAACUUAGAAUCUUCUGAUAUAAUUUGUCCUUAUCGACCGUGAUAACAGAUAAGAGGUAAAGACUUUUGGGGAAGACUUAUGGGAGGACGACUAAGAUUUAAUUAAUGGUGGAGAAUUUAGUGCCCAUGCAAUUGACUUUAAAACUAGUUGAAAACAAUAGAGUAAUGAUUGAUGCAUAAAAUAUAUUCAUCUUCAUAAUGCCCGGUUUAGCACUGUAACUAAGUGCUAAAUUAUAAAUAGGGAAAAAAUUAUCUUGAUUUUUCUGGAAAGGACCAAAAUGAAGUUCAAGUUUUAAGAAAAAAAAAAAAAGUUGCAAUAUUACUGUGUAGCAGUAUUUUAGUCAAAUUGAGUUUUUCAUAGUUUUAUUUAAAUCAAAUUAUGGUAGUUUUAUUGUUUAAAAAUUAGUAUUUUAUUAAGUAAUUUCUUAUAGCUGUCAAACAACACAUAUAAUCUACAAAUGAGGAGUCUUAUUAUUAUGGUCAGUUAAAAAGUGAAAGGUUGAGGGUAUUAUUAUUAUUAUGUGUGAUUAAUGAUAUGUGAUUGAUUUAUUUAUCUUUUCUCACACAUAUUUUAUUAUGGUGUAGAUUUGUCUCCCCCUUAUAUAUUUGUGAGUGUUUUAACAUGAGCAAAUUGUAUUAAAUAUCAGUUUAGAAAGAGAUGGUCAUGUUUUUCACUUCUUUCAGUUUAGAAAAUGGUGGCUCCUCCACUUGAUGUUGAUGAAUGUUACAUACUCAUCAUUUCGGUUAAUUUUAUCGGUGGAGGAGACCAAGUUGGUGGUCCUCUAAAAUUAUGUGAACAAAAUCAAGUAAAAUCACUAGUUAUAUGGAUGUUAAUAAGAAGGAAUAACUUAAGAAACCUCUCCUUUGGGUUUUUGAGAAUUACAGCCACUUCUUUGAGGUUUAAAAGAUUACAUAAAUCUUUCUUAAAAAUUAUAUUUUUGUAAUAAUUGAUGAUGUAAGCACAAAAAAACUAACGAAUAUCCUAUAUUGUCACGAUUUAAUUCCUAAAGAAAAUUAAAUGAUAAAAGAAUUUAAAUGCCAUCGUUACCCGUUUAAUUAGAUAAAGAAUUUCAAGGUAAUUCGUGGUACACAAAUUGGAGCCAUGCUUCACACGGGAUCCUCAGUGCUACUUCUAUAUUUAUGUCAAAUGUUCUAUUUAUUUAAUUUAUCAUAUGUUGUUUAUUCAAAUUUCUUCUACCAUCACGUGAUUAGUGGGAUUGACACUGAAUUUGGCAUCGAGUAGUGGCACAGAGGAUCCCAACUGUGCUUUGAAGCAUCUUUUUCGGCUGCUUGAGCAUCAUUUUUCUUUCUAAAGUAAUUUGCAAAGCAACUCCUUUAAACAAAUGCAUCCGUAGUGGAUGAUUAGCUCUUUAUUGAACUGAUCAAGAAUUCCAUGUACUGUGUGAGACGAGUUUAGAACUUUCGGAUAAAAAGGUAUUAGCGUGAAAGAGUUUCAUUUAUUAUGUUUUAAACCGAAUUUUCAUUUAGGGUUUGUAGAUUGUGUGAAGGCCAGAAAUAGUCUUUUCAUAAUAUCAAAGAAAAUAAAUUUAUAAUUUUUCAAACAUCAAAGGAGGUGCCCCCAAUUGUCAGAAUAAUAAGAAAGUAAUUUAAUUAGGUAAUUUGGUUAGCUCUAGUGUCUCACAAUUCCUAGUUUUGAAUAUAGUCUAUGCUUUGAUUAGAGAAUUUUUAGAAUAUAGGUUUUUAUUUUUGAAAUCUAAAGUAACACAAUCUAAAAACACUCCAAAUACAAACAAUUUCAAAUAUACCUAACAAAAAAUACAAAUAUAAUUAAAAAAUAUAAUAAAUUCUAUCACCUCUUUCUUUUUCUACCCAACACCCACCAUCCCUCCUCCACCGCCACCUCUGCCUCUCCCUCCUCCUCUGUCCUCCCUUUUUCCCUUUCUCUCUUUUCUUCCUUCCUCCUUUUUCUGCUUCUUCCUCUUCCUUCUUUUCCCUCCAUCUCCCUUGGCAGCCUCCCUCCUCUCUCUCCUCCUUUUUCAACAACCCCCUUACCUUUCCCUUCUGUAGAAGAGGAAGAAAGUAAGUGAUAUUUUGAAAAUCUAAAAAAUAUUAAAUGUUAUUAAGAGAAACUUCAUGGGAGGUUUCUGAUAUUAUCCUAUACUACAACGGAUAACAAAAGAUCAAGAUUUGAAAACAACCAGAAAUAUAAGGUACCCCUUUGUACCAAAAUCAAUUCCUCCAGAAAAAACAAGAAGUAACAGGAAAAUGAAUAGGUACAAUCGAGAUCUUUUUUACUUCUUGAUGCAAUCAAGAUUGAAUUAUCCCAAAAAAAAUUUCUACCUGAAUAAACUUAUGAGUUAAGGGUGGCACAAGACUGACAACAGAACAGGACACAAACUGUUGACAAUUUAUUAAUGACGUCGCACAAUCAUAGAUUGGGCUGUUGCGAUGGAGGAGGCUGAUGUGGGGCGGUAAUGGCUGACUGGAGGAGAUGGGGAGUCAAAGUAAAACUGGGUACUUUAUGUCAAACUAUACGGGAGCCCGAAAAGCAAACAUUGAGGAAUAGGACAACAAAGUAGGACUUAGGCUAAUUCGCCAACUUGACCUGCUCACAAAGUCCGCUUGGUUGAGAACGCUGAAAGUUCCUUUUUUUUACCCCCUGAAAAGUUGAAAAUUUUUAAACAAUACAAACACAUAAAUAAACAUCUUAGACACCCCCCCCCCCCUUCAUUCUUUUUUGUCUUGUUUGCUUAUUAAGCAAGGAAAGAUUUACUGAAAUGCUGCAAACAAGUGAUCACUGAUAGUUGGAACUUGAAAGGUUCAAAUAUGCAAGAAUUAUUCAUUGAGAAGCUGAAAAUAAACUCCAUAAAUUUUCACAUGUCCAAAAUAUAGGAUUUUCCACACAGAUGCAUAACCACAUGCAUUUGGAUACGCGUCAACAAUAUACAACCAAUACGUAUCUAAUGUCUUCAUAUUAUACCUUGUCAACCAUUUCUUUUUUAUUUUUAUUUAAAAGAAAAAAGAAAAACUUUACUUUUGUAAUGGUAGUUAUACUUGUUCAACUUCUAUAAUCAUGAUUUAUUUAUGUCUUUUAAGAGUAUGUUGUUUUCCUCCCCUUUUUUUUUUUGGUCUCUAGUUUCCUGGAUCGUUGAACAUAAAGAGAUGUAUAAUCUGCGUUUUGGAUUAUAAUCAAGAGAUGUAUAUUCUCCAUUUUCCCACAUUUACGCAAGUAACAAAAUGAACAUAGCUCAUGAUCAAAGGUCUUUAUUUCUCACCAAGAAAUUAAUUCAGCGUUUGGUGUCGAAUUUCCUUAUCCUUCCUUUUCAAGAUAGAAGAAAAAUUGGAGGCAAGCAAACCAAAUCGGCAACAUAAUUAUCUAGAAGACCAUUUUGAUUUUAUUGGUGUUGAGUUUUCCAUAUGCACUUCCAUUCUCGACUGUCUGGCCAAAAGAAAAUGCCUUUGAUGGACCAUUUCAAAACUUCGUGAAAUUCAAACUCAGUUGUUUUAACUGACUUCCAAGCCUGUACCAAAAAUAGUAUCAUAACCAUAUUCUUCGCCUCUGUAGAGACUUAAUCACCCUUGCUCUUUGUAGCAUUGAUGACUUGUUUCAUAUAAUUUAAUAGAAGUAAAUGAGUUUAUAGUUCAUUUCAUAAUCACGAAAGUAGGUAUGAAUUAGUUAUAAAUAUAGUUGGUACGCCCGUGAAAGUGGGUAUCACGAGCAUUAGGAAAUUACGCCAUAAGUUAACCAAGGUUUUGAUACUCAAUUAGUCAGGAAGUAGUACUAACAUGAGUAGCUAGGGAUUUCAUUACACAGAAAACUUUCAUGUGUAUUUUUCUACCCAUUAGUAGCUUAAGUUUAUUAGUUUUAAUUUGUUGAUAUUUUAAAUAAUAGAAAAACUUUAGUAAUGCUGAUAAUUGUCCGUCUUCUUUGUAGAUUCGACUCUUAAUACUCUAUACUCAAACAUGACCUGUAUACUUAUAGUUAUAUAUGGGGUAUUUAGAAAUUUAUAAAUUUAAAACUUGCGGCGAAGUAAGAGAUUAUUUUUAUAUACACACCCUGUACCUAUUAAUAAUAAUUUAUUAUGCCUUUUAAGAGUAUGCUAUUUUUUCCCAUUUUUACCUUUUUUUUUUCUUUUUCUCAUUGGUCUCCAUUUCCUGAACUGUUGUACAUGAAGUGAUGUAUAAUCUCCAUUUGGGAUAAAAGAUGCAAUUAUAACGUAUGAAUAGAGCCAAUGAUCAAAGGUUUUAUUUUUCUCACCAAGAAAUUGAUCUAGCCUUGGUGUCACAUUUCCUUGAUGCCCUUGUCCUUCAUUUCCAAGAUAGAAGAAAAAUGGAGGCAAGAAAACCAAAUCGACAACAUAAGCAUCUAUGUAGAGAAAUUAAGCCAAGUUAACGUUGUUUGGCUAGUAGUGAGACUUAUAUUAUUUAGUUAGUAUAAUGGCCAGGUGGCUUCAAUUCCAUUCCAGGAUGUAUUAGUGCUAGUCGCAUAGGGCUUAGUAAGUGCAUAGGGCUUAGUAUAAUGGUCAGUUUGUAAGUUAGUCGCAUAGGGCUUAGUAAGUGCAUAGCCUCGUGUUUCAUAUAUUGUCAGUAGCCUCAAUUCCGUUUGUAUAUGGUGAGGAGUCGCAGCUUGUUUCAUCAACAUAGAAAAUUUCCCUUUACCCCGUAUAUCAAUUUCUUGAACAUUUUCUUACGGGUUUACGCUUGAUUAUUGUUUUGUGUCCACCAAUCUAGAAAGCCAUUUUGAUUUUUUUGGAAUUAAUAAAGUAUUAUGUUUUCUACCAUAAGAAAAAAAAAAGUUUUUCAAAUGCACUUCAUUUUUCGAUUGUCUGGCCAAUGAGGAAAAAGAAAAUGCCUAUAAUUUGAUGCACCGGACCGUUUCAGACCUUCGUGUGCAAUUCCGGUGCGUACCAACCCAAACUUCUGUUGCCUUUUACUGACUUCCGGGGCUCGUCAAAAUCAUAGGAACAUUAUCAUUUUUCGCCUUUGAAAAAACUUAGUCACCCUGGCUCUUACAUUUUCCUCGUCGACCAACACGAUUACAUUUUACGCCCACCCUUUGGGACUUCACAAGUCUUGCAACGUAUGCAACCUUGAAGCCAUUCUGCGGUCAAAGGCAUGGAAAUGUAGAAUUUUGUUGUAUGAUUUUCAAACAUCACCCAAGAAAACUGGAAAAAUGAUCUUGUACAUGUUCAUUUUAGUCAGCAUUUGGAAAUUUUUUUCAUUUUGAGAACCAGUUAACAAGAUUUGGAUCAGCUUGCCAGGAACACCUAUAUAAACCCAACUACAACAUCCCAAAUUCAAAUCAUCCAACUACUCAUAUCUUAUCUUUUCUACCUGCAUUUGAUCCCAAUACAUACAAUAGAGAUGGCCAUCAGCUUUGGUAAAAGGAUUGCUUGUCCUCCUCCUAACCUUAGUAGCCACCUUGGCAAUUAGCCAAGCUGAAACAGUUGUUGUUGGAGGAUCCGAGGGAUGGCGUUAUGGCUACAAUUACACUGAGUGGGCCUUCAACCACGGUGCCUUUUUCCGCGGUGACAUACUAGG